AACGAACGCUGGCGGCAUGCCUAACACAUGCAAGUCGAACGAGACCUUCGGGUCUAGUGGCGCACGGGUGCGUAACGCGUGGGAACCUGCCCUUAGGUUCGGAAUAACUCCCCGAAAGGGGUGCUAAUACCGGAUAAUGUCUUCGGACCAAAGAUUUAUCGCCUUUGGAUGGGCCCUCGUUGGAUUAGCUAGUUGGUAUGGUAAAAGCCUACCAAGGCGAAGAUCCAUAGCUGGUCUGAGAGGAUGAUCAGCCACACUGGGACUGAGACACGGACCAGACUCCUACGGGAGGAAGCAAUGGGGACUAUUGGACGAUGGGCGAAAGCAUGAUCCAGCAAUGCCGCGUGAGUGAUGAAGGACUUAGGGUUGUAAAGCUCUUUUAAACGGGAUGAUAAUGACAGUACCGGGAGAAUAAGCUCCGGCUAACUCCGUG
rnacentral:rRNA from 1 species